AGACAAAACUGAUCGUGAUGUCUGAGUGAUUAAUUCUUAGACCAUGAUCCUGUCACUUUAGGUCGAUCGGUACCUCAAGUUGAGAGUCAAAUACCAGCUGAGUCAUCAGUUUGGAGAUUGACAAUUGAUUUUAGUUCCUAAACUGUCUAGGUCACACCCCGCAAGGGUUACUCCUGGGCCAUUAGCUCAGGUGGUUAGAGCGCACCCCUGAUAAGGGUGAGGUCCCUGGUUCAAGUCCAGGAUGGCCCAUUCGGUGUUGGGGGUUUAGCUCAGUUGGUAGAGCGCCUGCUUUGCAAGCAGGAUGUCAGCGGUUCGAGUCCGCUAACCUCCACUGACGGAUCUCCUGCAACGAGUCAAUGGUGAGAAUCGUUGUGUGAUGUGAUUUAGAAUUGAAGUUUGCUGGCAGAACCUAGCUUCCUAUCAUUCCAAGCCUCAAUCCAUUGAGCUGAGGUUGACAGGACGCUGGGCUCACUGUAAUUCGUCAGAAUUGCAGAGAUGUUCGGCAGAACCUUGACAACUGCAUAGGUAAGUCUGGAAAGAAUAAAGCAUCUCAUGGAUGCAUGAUUCUUGUUAAUUCAGCUAAUGUGAUCUGCUUUAUGUAGUGAGCAAAGUCUGAUUGAUUAGAAUGAUGUUUGAUUCUUGAGUUAAGAGCCGAGACUCUAUAGUGUUCUUUCGAUGUCACCGAGGCAUCGAGAGUUUGAUUGGUUAUUCAAAUUAUCUCUAAAUUACAAAUAAUCAGGGUAACCUUUUGUUUGGUAUUUAGGGUAGUUGAAUUGCUUAGAAUACGUAUUCAAUGACGUAUAGCUCUGUAGAGGUUAUU
rnacentral:tRNA from 1 species